rnacentral:lncRNA from 1 species
UUAAGGGAAAGAGGCCCUGGGAGCCAGGAAUGCAGGGCAGAUCAGAGCGAGCCAAACCAGGAAUGGAAGUUCUCACAGUCACUACUGAGCCCAGGGACAGACCAAGGUAAUCUACGGCUUUUCUGUGGCUAUUCCCUUGCUUAGAUGGCUCUUUUCUCCAGUCUUCGCCUGAAAAGAAAAAGCACUACCCGUGACUUAAGAUCCAGCUAAGCUGUCACCUCUUCCCUGAAACACCCCCUCAUCCCCUCGGGUUUGUUCACCAAAGGUCAGAGACCUGAGCAGAGAAGUCAGGAGAAAGAGAUGAGCCCCUCCACAGCUCACACAGACUGUGUGGGUCUGACCCCUCUAUUUCCCGUCCCUUUGGGAAGGAUGGCUGAGCAGCACUGCGACAUACACUUCAAUGUUAUUUUUCUUAGGUACUGGGAAUGGAACCUGGGACUUGACACAUAUGAGGCAAGUAUUCUACCUCUAAGCCACAUGCCCAGCCCCAAUGUUAAAUAAUUUAAACACAGGGCAGACAAUUUAAUGAUUUUGUAUAUGCAUGGCAUAUGAUAAUGAUGGCUUAGGCUGAAUUAUUUACUAGUCUUUAAAAUUUUUGUAUGCUUUGUCUUUUGAGAAAAGGAUCUCAUUAUGUAGUCAGGGAUGUGGUAGGCACCUGACUGUUUCCUGAGUGCUGACAUCAUAGGUCUGAACCAUCACUUCUGGCUUUAAUGUUCCUUUGUUUUUCUUUCCUUCCUUCCUUCCUU